rnacentral:rRNA from 1 species
UACAUGGGGUGCAAACGUUGCUCGGAAUUAUUGGGCGUAAGCGCACGUAGGCGGUCCGUUAAGUCAGAUGUGAAAGCCCCCGGCUCAACCGGGGAAGCUGCAUCUGAAACUGGCGGGCUAGAGUACGAAAGAGGGUCGCGGAAUUCCCGGUGUAGAGGUGAAAUUCGUAGAUAUCGGGAGGAACACCGGUGGCGAAGGCGGUUCUCUGGGCAUUACCGUGACGCUGAGGAGCGAAAGUGUGGGAGGCGAACAGG